AGAGUUUGAUCCUGGCUCAGGACGAACGCUGGCGGCGUGCUUAACACAUGCAAGUCGAGCGGUAAGGCCCUUCGGGGUACACGAGCGGCGAACGGGUGAGUAACACGUGAGCAAUCUGCUUCACUCUGGGAUAGCCUCGGGAAACUGAGAUUAAUACCGGAUACGACCACUUCAGGCAUCUGAUGGUGGUGGAAAGUUCC
rnacentral:rRNA from 1 species